AUAUUUUCCCAGUGGUUUUUUUCAUUUUUCAUUUUUCGUUUUCACUCUCUUAUAAAUUAAGAACAAACAGGAAAAAAUUAAUGAUUUUCUAUUCAUUUUUACCUUGGCAUCAUGUAGCACAUGGUGUUCCCAAAACAAUUCACGUGCCUUGUCUAUGCUUCCACAUUUUGCAUGCAUGCAUGUUAUAGGGUCGACUCCAUAAUUCCUUCGCUCCCACGAAUGUCGCUGGUUUUCCACACUACAUUUGAGGAACAUGGGCACUUCUGGAGGAGAUUUUGAGGUCAUCUCAUGGUGUGGAUAGUGGGAUGCUUGUAUCAAUGAAGCUGACCAAAAGACCUUCUUCAGAACUCAUCAACCUAUUCAAGCAAUGCUGGGUUCUUUAUUUCCCUUCUUUCUACAUUGUUUUGUUGCUUUUGUGUUUAUAUUUCUAUGAUCAUUGUGAUCUUUUCUCAGCCAUUCCCACGACUUGUGUGGGAUCUAGUGAAAAGUUUGAUCUUUAUAAAUAAAAUAUAUUACAUGCAGAUGUUUUAUUCA